CAGUAACGGCGAGUGAAGCGGCAACAGCUCAAAUUUGAAAUCUGGCUCCUUCGGGGUCCGAAUUGUAAUUUGUAGAGAGUGCUUCGGGCGAGACCUCGGUCUAAGUCCAUUGGAACAUGGUGUCAUAGAGGGUGAGAAUCCCGUAUGUGACCGUGGCUCGAGCCCAUGUGAAGCCUCUUCGACGAGUCGAGUUGUUUGGGAAUGCAGCUCAAAACGGGUGGUAAAUUUCAUCUAAAGCUAAAUACUGGCUGGAGACCGAUAGCGCACAAGUAGAGUGAUCGAAAGAUGAAAAGCACUUUGGAAAGAGAGUCAAACAGUACGUGAAAUUGUUGAAAGGGAAGCGCUUGCAACCAGACCUGCCCGUAGGCGAUCAGCCGCUGUUCUCAGCGGUGCACUCGCUCUGCGAUCAGGCCAGCAUCGGUUUCGGCGGUCGGAUAAAGGCCUUGGGAAUGUAGCUUCCCUUCGGGGGAGUCUUAUAGCCCUCGGUGUAAUGCGGCCAGCCGGGACCGAGGACCGCGCUUCGGCUAGGAUGCUGGCGUAAUGGUUGUAAGCGACCCGUCUUGAAACACGGACCAAGGAGUCUAACAUCUAUGCGAGUGUUUGGGUGUCAAACCCAUACGCGGAAUGAAAGUGAACGGAGGUGAGAACCCUUAAGGGCGCAUCAUCGACCGAUCCAGAUGUCUUCGGAUGGAUUUGAGUAUGAGCAUAGCUGUUGGGACCCGAAAGAUGGUGAACUAUGCCUGAAUAGGGUGAAGCCAGAGGAAACUCUGGUGGAGGCUCGCAGCGGUUCUGACGUGCAAAUCGAUCGUCAAAUUUGGGUAUAGGGGCGAAAGACUAAUC
rnacentral:rRNA from 2 species